rnacentral:lncRNA from 1 species
ACCAACCGCGGGUGGCUUCCGACAGCGCUAAAGUGUGUGGGACUCAAUUAGGUCCGGAAGGAUGAGUUUCUAGGUGGUGCUGCCUAUGUGCUGAGUUUUACAGACUGAAUGGUAUUUCCAUCAUGGAGUCAGUUGUGCUAAGGUCUGGGGCCUUUACACAGAAGAUCUGCCUGUACCCUCUGCAAAGUCAAACUGGUGGUGCUACUUGCCUGGAGGGAAAUGACUGGGGAAGUUGGGCCUGGCUGAAGCUCCUCUCAAAAGACAGUUCGGGGUACUGCUCUGCCUGAGACUUGGCCAGUAUGGUGAAACCACCAGCACGACUGAGGGUGGGGAACAGUGAGACUGGGGUGGGGAAUGGUGGGACAGUGCCUGAAGCUCUUUAUCCUCCUGCUGUGUCACACAGUGAAAUGCCAGCCCUGAACAAUGUAACACUAUAUCAAGUUUAGGGUUCAUGUAAAAACUGUACCCUAAAAGGACCUAGGUCAAAAAGAAAGGUUCUUUAGGUUUUUGAAUAAAACUGCUGUCUUAGGGUUGCUACUGC